CAAAAACUCAAAUGUCACGACAUCGUCAUCAACACGUUCCGGGACCUGAAGGAUCGUCAGAUGUUGCUUCAGUAUCGAACCAAAGUGGAACCAGGAUCAACCGAAGACCAAAAGAUCCAAGACCUGCUCAACAACUCGAUUCGAUGGAAAAACUGAAGCUUCAACUGUUUUUGGUUUUUUGGUUUUUUUUGUGUCAAAUGUGAAAAAAAUAAAGAAACGACUGAAUCCAGAAA